rnacentral:rRNA from 1 species
UACAGAGGGUGCAAGCGUUAAUCGGAUUUACUGGGCGUAAAGCGUGCGCAGGCGGCUUUGCAAGACAGAUGUGAAAUCCCCGGGCUCAACCUGGGAACUGCAUUUGUGACCGCAAGGCUAGAGUACGGCAGAGGGGGAUGGAAUUCCGCGUGUAGCAGUGAAAUGCGUAGAUAUGCGGAGGAACACCAAUGGCGAAGGCAAUCCCCUGGGCCUGUACUGACGCUCAUGCACGAAAGCGUGGGGAGCAAACAGG